rnacentral:lncRNA from 1 species
AUGGUAAAAACUGACUUACAUGUAAUGUUAAAUGCUAACAUAGUCCUCACAUCAAUUUAAGAAGAGGAACCAAGAACCUUUCCCAUCUUUAAUGACCACAACCUGGGAGCCAUUUUCACCCAGGUGAAUUCCGUCUUCCACAAAGUAGCCAGGCCUAUUCUAGAAGGAGUCAAAUUAUUCCAUAUGUGUUAUUUCAUAGUUUUGAUGUCUUCACCAUUAUUCUACAAUGUAGAAUAAUAGUCAAAAGAAAAGAAAAACCCUGGAAUGAGUAGGUGUGUCCAAACCUUUUGACUGGUACUGUAUGUGGUUGUAUUUUGGAUUUGCGUCAUCUUGACCAACUAGUUUGAGUAGCAGGAGGCUUAUAACGUCCUGUUCUUUAUCUCUCUUUUCAUCCCCCCUCUUUUCUCUCUCCUCGCCAGGUUUGGUGCGUUGAUGAUAACAGUGGCGGGUCUGAAGCUUCUUCGUUCCUCCUACAGUAAGCCCCACAUACCAGGACAUCACAGUAUUCUCUUCACCGUCCUCUUCUUCACCUUCGACUACCGAAGCCUCUCGGACACCAUGUGCUGCUGGACCUCUUCCUCAAGUCCAUCGUCUUCAGCAAGUCAACCCUCCAAUCAGAAAUAGGGGGAACACUCAAUUGUUGGUCCCCAAAAAGUCCUCGCAAGUAUAGUAAGUAAUGUGUGUGUGUGUGUGUGUGUGUGUGUGUGUGUGUAACUUCAACAACAUUGAUAAGAGGGUGUAGACCUAUUUAAACUUUGGAAGCAUUUCAUUUUUGAUACAGAUUAUUUUGUGUUUCCGUCCUUGUUUCUCAUUUUAUUCAACUGUUACCAUGCACCUGCAAAAAAUAUAUAGCUCAGAUGUGCAAGUGCCUUUUUGAAUUUUGUGUUUCAGUCACUUACGGUCAAAGUAUGCCUGUAACACAAUGCACUGCUUUUUAAAUUGAAAAAAAUCUUUCUUAAGAGACAAAUUUGAGCAACAUUUUUUUUUAAAAAUUAAAAAGAAAGAGGCUUCAAUAUUUGCAGCCGUAGGUGAUAUCUCUCUAGAAGUUGAUCGUCUUCGGUUAAGGUAAGAUUAUAAUAGAGAAAGCUGCUCCGAGAGCAGCGCUGCUUUUCUUUCCAUCCUGUCAGUUACCUUUAGCGUCUAUUGAUGAAGGUAUCAUCUUCACGGUGACUUUUGUUACGAGCCCAGACGCUCGGUUUUUUUUUCUACAUACUUUCGUAUCGGCGAGAAAUUACUACAAACCUUAUUAGGAUUAGUGUUCCCUCACGGCCAUAUCUCCAUGUUACAACGGGUGUAUGGAAGACAGACGGAAGACCGAGGCUUCUACCUGUGCUAAUUAGCUAUCUAGCAUGCUCCGAACACCUGUGCUAAUUAGCUAUCUAGCAUGCUCCGAACACCUGUGCUAAUUAGCUAUCUAGCAUGCUCCGAACACCUGUGCUAAUUAGCUAUUUAGCAUGCUCCGAACACCUGUGCUAAUUAGCUUUCUAGCAUGCUCCGAACACCUGUGCUAAUUAACUAUCUAGCAUGCUCCGAAGAACCUGUGCUAAUUAACUAUCUAGCAUGCUCCGAACACCUGUGCUAAUUAGCUAUCUAGCAUGCUCCGAACACCUGUGCUAAUUAGCUAUCUAGCAUGCUCCGAACACCUGUGCUAAUUAGCUAUCUAGCAUGCUCCGAACACCUGUGCUAAUUAGCUAUCUAGCAUGCUCUGAACACCUGUGCUAAUUAGUUAUCUAGCAUGCUCCGAACACCUGUGCUAAUUAGUUAUCUAGCAUGCUCUGAACACCUGUGCUAAUUAGUUAUCUAGCAUGCUAUGAACACCUGUGCUAAUUAACUAUCUAGCAUGCUCUGAACACCUGUGCUAAUUAACUAUCUAGCAUGCUCCGAACACCUGUGCUAAUUAGCUAUCUAGCAUACUAUGAACACCUGUGUGUAGUAACCAAGGCCACGAGAAAUGUGUUGUCACUGAAAAAUACUGUCGGCAGCAACUGUGAAAGCUGGUUAAAACAGUUAAGUGUAUAUUUUGUAUUUGUGAAAUUAUUUUGAUGUGAUAUGAAAGUAAAGGACUUUGUUUCUAGAACUGUAUCGCAAUUGAGAAUCGAUUCACAUUUAGUCUCCAUGGCUGCCAGAGCCAGUCUCCAUGGCUGCCAGAGCCCGUCUCCAUGGCUGCCAGAACCCGUCUCCAUGGCUGCCAGAGCCCGUCUCCAUGGCUGCCAGGGUCAGUCUACAUGGCUUCCAGAGCCAGUCUCCCACUGAAAAUAUCAUAAUGUCCUUGGAAUGGUAGGCUUGCCUACACUCCUUCUGAGUACAUUCUUAGGCUAUAUCGACUCAACGACUCACUUGUAACAUCUUCGGCCAUUAUAGGAACGAUGCAUUGUUAAAACACUCGUCAGCCUAAGUUCCAGCAAUAUCGUGAAACUGGACCCUGGUUAUCUUCUAUCCUGUCCUCUCCAUACAGGCACCAACUAACCUGUCCAUACAGGCACCAACACAACUCUGCUCUAUCCACUGUGAGAAGAGAUUACAUCUACAGAGUGCAGACUGCUUCUCCUUUAGAGAAACAUACAAGUCUUUUAGACAUUUGGAGGAUGGAUUGUUUACUUUAGAUCAGUGUUUCCCAACUCCAGUCCUCCAGUACCCCCAACAGCCCAACUCCAGUCCUCCAGUACCCCCAAAAGCCCAACUCCAGUCCUCCAGUACCCCCAAAAGCCCAACUCCAGUCCUCCAGUACACCCAACAGCCCAACUCCAGUCCUUCAGUACACCCAACAGCCCAACUCCAGUCCUCCAGUACACCCAACAGCCCAACUCCAGUCCUCCAGUACCCCC